AAUUUGACCCUCUAAUUGGAUGAGGAUACUUUGCAUGAUCAGGAUGCACAAUGGUCGACGUCUUUACUAUGGAGAGAUGGAUAAGAGACCGCCCCUACAAAAACAUUUUUUUUAACUUUGUUCUUUGAUUUUUUUUUAAUGCGUCGAUCUUCAGUUAAAUGAAAGACACUGCUGACUUAAGCAGUAAGGGAUGGCGUUAAGAAAUAAUCCACAAGCUCAUCUUCUAUUGUUUGUGAUGUACAAAUGUAUGUGACCGCUGCUAGCUCUCCGGAUUUCUAACGACACGUUAUAUAUGUGCACCCAAUUGGUCAGUGCGGCGUCACGAUACAUACAUCACAAUAUAUAUAAGGGGAAAAGUUGAUCCACAGCUGAACAGGGUAGAUCUCAAGUUUAGCAUAUUUCUAGUGAGGAGUUGCCAACCAAAGCCGUAGGUGAGUUUUCAUGACAUGCAGUCCAAUUAGGAAUUGACAAGAACCAACGUUUCCCACUAACUACCGUCAUGUGAUGAAUUAAUUGAGAUUUUAUAACUACUCUUUCCAUUGAUUUUUUCUAUUAAUUAACUUGGUGAUUGGUUCUAGUUUA